rnacentral:rRNA from 1 species
AUUGAACGCUGGCGGCAGGCCUAACACAUGAAAGUCGAGCGGAGCGGCGGACGGGUGAGUACUGCCUAGGAAUCUGCCUGGUCGCGGGGGAUAACGUCCGGAAACGGGCGCUAAUACCGCAUACUAUCAGAUGAGCCUAGGUCGGAUUAGCGAGUUGGUGGGGUAAAGGCCUACCAAGGCGACGAUCCGUAACUGGUCUGAGAGGAGGAUCAGUCACACUGGAACUGAGACACGUUCCAGACUCCUACGGGAGGCAGCAUUGGGGAAUAUUGGACAAUGGGCGAAAGCCUGAGCCAGCCAUGCCGCGUGUUUGAAGAAGGUCUUCGGAUUGUAAAGCACUUUAAGUUGGGAGGCGUUACCAACAGAAUAAGCACCGGCUAACUUCGUGCCAGCAGCCGCGGUAAUUC